rnacentral:lncRNA from 1 species
CGGAGGGGAGCUCACCUCUUCGUCCGGGAUGUAGGAAACCUUGAAGGAAUAGCUCUCAAGCUGAUGGCCGCUGAGCUUCUCAAUUGCUACUUUUGCUUCUUCUUUUGUUGCAUAUGUGACGUUGACAACUGCAGUUUCUGUGUCUGUGUUAACUUGCUCUACAUUCUCCACUGUUCCGUACUGAGCCAAGAGGCCAUCCAGCACCUCCCACUGCAGGUGCGGGGGGAUGUUUCGGAUCUGGAUCUUUCUGCUCCUGAGCUUUUUGGGCACGGAGUAAUCCACCUCCAGCACUUUGCCGUGCAGCUCCGCUUUACCCGAGAGGGUCUCGAUGGCGCGGAUGGCCCAGUUCUGGUCCGGGUAAUCCACGAAGGCGUAGCCGGACUUGAGCAGGACCUGGCCGGCCAGGGGCAGCUUCCUGUCGCCGAAGAGCUGCCGGAGGUCGUCGGCGGUGGCGGCGGGGCUGAGGUUGCCGAUGUAGAGCUUGUUCAUCCUCCGGCGCUUCAUGGGGAGCCCCGCGGCUCCUCCCGCCCCGGCGGCCGGAGAUGAGCGUCGGGCACGGCACGGCGCUGCGCCACCCGCCCGGCCGAGCCCGCGGCAGCCCUGCAACAGCGCCCCGCCGCCGGGCAGCGGGCGGAGCCGCGCCGAGCCGAGCCGAGCCCGGCCCGAGCCGCCUCCCCAGCAGCGCGGCGAACCCCGGCGCUGCCCCGCUGCCCCCCGCCCCACUGCCGCACGUGGAGCCGCGGCC